GGGACAAACAACAACCCAUUGAAGUGGGGUAUUAAUAUUAAAGAAGGAUGGUUGCAAGGGGCUGAACUAGAAAUAAAGUUAGGGUGGAGUUACAGAAUUUUGUGCCAGUUUUCCCUGUGCUUGCACAUUGCCCUCAUGUUACUUUUUGCAGGUAAGGUCAUGGAUAAGGUCAUAGCCAAGGGUAUGGGUCUAGGGAGCAGGCUGGUUUUCUCAGGAGUUGCAACUUCUCAUGAGGGUUUCCUGCAUUUCAAUGGUGUGUGGGCACUUUCUUUGAGGCUCAGUAUUAACUCUCCCUUUUCUGUAUCCCCAAAUUCCUAUCUCAAGAGUGAUUCAAAGGUUUAGAAAGAUUAGAAUGUAGAGUGGAUAUGUCAUUUAAUACCAACUCAGGCUCUCUGCUUCCUGGUUGUCAUGUCCUGUGCUCAUUUUCUUCACCAUGCAGUUCUGCCACAAUAUUCUGACUCACCUUGGGCCCAGAGCUAUGGAGUCGGCUGUGCAUGCACCAAACCUCUGAAACAAUGAGCCAAAAUAAACUUUUCCUCCUCUUAAAAAUCACCUACCUAGCCAUAGGACAGUCCAGAAUACAUACAUUUAACCAUUACUG
rnacentral:lncRNA from 1 species